CUGCCGGAGUUUCGUGUUUGAAUAAAGCGUUCGUCUUGUCAGCUGUUGCUGCUCUGGAUAAAAAGCAUGGAGGUGAUUCUUCAACUGGAGAACUAAGAGAUUGGCAUAGCAGAAACACCGGUGAAAUUAUUAUAGUCUCUCAAGAACCAAGUUUUGUUUACAGCAAAGGAAAACCACUCUCCUCUUGACUUAUAUCAAAAUCAUCUUGAAAUUCUUGAAUUCACUGCCCUUCAUGGGAUGAUGGACGCCAGACUAAAUCACAGCCCUCGUCUGCACUGCAGAGUUUCCCCUCGGAGGACCGGAGUUAAUCAGCGCCACUGACACCGCAGGAACGUCUUCAGGCCGCUGAAUUUUAUAUGACCCUUAUUCCUUGGCUGGGAUCGUUUUGAGCCCUUUGAAAUCCGUUGAGCACGACUGAAGUCCACUAUGGAAAACCUUAAAUUCUUUGCGACUGAAGAAAGAAAGACAUGAAUAUCUUGGAUGACAUGGGGU